UUUAAUUGAAGAGUUUGAUCAUGGCUCAGAUUGAACGCUGGCGGCAGGCUUAACACAUGCAAGUCGAGCGGUAGCACAAGGGAGCUUGCUCCCUGGGUGACGAGCGGCGGACGGGUGAGUAAUGUCUGGGAAACUGCCUGAUGGAGGGGGAUAACUACUGGAAACGGUAGCUAAUACCGCAUAACGUCGCAAGACCAAAGAGGGGGACCUUCGGGCCUCUUGCCAUCAGAUGUGCCCAGAUGGGAUUAGCUAGUAGGUGGGGUAAUGGCUCACCUAGGCGACGAUCCCUAGCUGGUCUGAGAGGAUGACC
rnacentral:rRNA from 2 species